rnacentral:rRNA from 1 species
UACGUAGGGUGCGAGCGUUAAUCGGAAUUACUGGGCGUAAAGCGUGCGCAGGCGGUCUGUUAAGACCGAUGUGAAAUCCCCGGGCUUAACCUGGGAACUGCAUUGGUGACUGGCAGGCUUUGAGUGUGGCAGAGGGAGGUAGAAUUCCACGUGUAGCAGUGAAAUGCGUAGAGAUGUGGAGGAAUACCGAUGGCGAAGGCAGCCUACUGGGCCACCACUGACGCUCAUGCACGAAAGCGUGGGGAGCAAACAGG